GGCGAACGCUGGCGGCGUGCUUAACACAUGCAAGUCGAACGGAAAGGCCCUGCUUUUGUGGGGUGCUCGAGUGGCGAACGGGUGAGUAACACGUGAGUGACCUGCCCUUGACUUUGGGAUAACUUCAGGAAACUGGGGCUAAUACCGGAUAGGAGCUCCUGCUGCAUGGUGGGGGUUGGAAAGUUUCGGCGGUUGGGGAUGGACUCGCGGCUUAUCAGCUUGUUGGUGGGGUAGUGGCUUACCAAGGCUUUGACGGGUAGCCGGCCUGAGAGGGUGACCGGCCACAUUGGGACUGAGAUACGGCCCAGACUCCUACGGGAGGCAGCAGUGGGGAAUAUUGCACAAUGGGCGGAAGCCUGAUGCAGCAACGCCGCGUGCGGGAUGACGGCCUUCGGGUUGUAAACCGCUUUCGCCUGUGACGAAGCGUGAGUGACGGUAAUGGGUAAAGAAGCACCGGCUAACUACGUG
rnacentral:rRNA from 1 species